GACGAACGCUGGCGGCGUGCUUAACACAUGCAAGUCGAACGGAAAGGCCCUGCUUUUGUGGGGUGCUCGAGUGGCGAACGGGUGAGUAACACGUGAGUAACCUGCCCUUGACUUUGGGAUAACUUCAGGAAACUGGGGCUAAUACCGGAUAGGAGCUCCUGCUGCAUGGUGGGGGUUGGAAAGUUUCGGCGGUUGGGGAUGGACUCGCGGCUUAUCAGCUUGUUGGUGGGGUAGUGGCUUACCAAGGCUUUGACGGGUAGCCGGCCUGAGAGGGUGACCGGCCACAAUGGGGCUGAGGAGAGGCCCAGACGACUACGGGAGGCAGCAGUGGGGAAGAAUGCACAACGGGCGGAAGCCUGAUGCAGGAACGCCGCGGGGGGGAUGAAGGCCUUCGGGGUGUAAACCGCUUUCGCCUGUGACGAAGCGUGAGUGACGGUAAUGGGUAAAGAAGCACCGGCUAACUACGUG
rnacentral:rRNA from 1 species